rnacentral:rRNA from 1 species
AGGACGAACGCUGGCGGCGUGCUUAACGACAUGCAAGUCGAGCGGAAAGGCCCUUCGGGGUACUCGAGCGGCGAACGGGUGAGUAACACGUGAGCAACCUGCCCUUAGCUUCGGGAUAGCUCCGGGAAACCGGAAUUAAUACCGGAUAUGACUAUGGCCGACAUCAGCCAUGGUGGAAAGUUUUUCGGCUAGGGAUGGACUCGCGGCCUAUCAGCUAGUUGGUGAGGUAACGGCUCACCAAGGCGACGACGGGUAGCCGGCCUGAGAGGGCGACCGGCCACACUGGGACUGAGACACGGCCCAGACUCCUACGGGAGGCAGCAGUGGGGAAUAUUGCGCAAUGGGCGAAAGCCUGACGCAGCGACGCCGCGUGGGGGAUGAAUGCCUUCGGGUUGUAAACCCUUUCAGCAGGGACGAAGCGAAAGUGACGGUACCUGCAGAAGAAGCGCCGGCUAACUACGUGCCAGCAGCCGC